CUACGGGAUGCUCCAGUGAGGAAUAUUGGUCAAUGGGCGCGAGCCUGAACCAGCCAUCCCGCGUGCAGGAUGACGGCCCUAUGGGUUGUAAACUGCUUUUCUAUGCCAAGAAACCUGAUUACAUGUAAUCAGUUGCCGGUAGCAUAGGAAUAAGCAUCGGCUAACUCCGUGCCAGCAGCCGCGGUAAUACGGAGGAUGCAAGCGUUAUCCGGAUUCAUUGGGUUUAAAGGGUGCGCAGGUGGGCUUGUAAGUCAGUGGUGAAAUGCUGCCGCUUAACGGUAGAACUGCCAUUGAUACUGGAGUGUUGAGUAUGGUUGAGGUAGGCGGAAUGUGUUGUGUAGCGGUGAAAUGCAUAGAUAUGACACAGAACGCCAAUUGCGAAGGCAGCUUACUAAGCCAUUACUGACGCUGAGGCACGAAAGCGUGGGGAGCGAACAGGAUUAGAUACCGAGUAGUC
rnacentral:rRNA from 1 species